rnacentral:lncRNA from 1 species
CGCUCCGGCAACCUGCCGAUGUGCCCGCCGCCUUCGGACUUUUCUUCCUGUCGACUCGCCAUUGAUUGCUACUUGGCUUUCAGAGGGAACAAGCUUCAGUUAACGAGGGAAGGAACGAAGGAAGAGAGGCCUUGGGUAGGAAAAGAAUUAUUGGUUGGAUCAAGUACGCAGUCGACCGCUAAUAAUCUUUCCUUGGGUAGAGCCUAAAGAAUGAUUGACUUCGACGAAGAC